GACGAACGCUGGCGGCGUGCCUAAUACAUGCAAGUCGAGCGAGCGAAACUAACAGAUUUACUUCGGUAAUGACGUUAGGAAAGCGAGCGGCGGAUGGGUGAGUAACCCGUGGGGAACCUGCCCCAUAGUCUGGGAUACCACUUGGAAACAGGUGCUAAUACCGGAUAAGAAAGCAGAUCGCAUGAUCAGCUUUUAAAAGGCGGCGUAAGCUGUCGCUAUGGGAUGGCCCCGCGGUGCAUUAGCUAGUUGGUAAGGUAAAGGCUUACCAAGGCGAUGAUGCAUAGCCGAGUUGAGAGACUGAUCGGCCACAUUGGGACUGAGACACGGCCCAAACUCCUACGGGAGGCAGCAGUAGGGAAUCUUCCACAAUGGACGCAAGUCUGAUGGAGCAACGCCGCGUGAGUGAAGAAGGUUUUCGGAUCGUAAAGCUCUGUUGUUGGUGAAGAAGGAUAGAGGUAGUAACUGGCCUUUAUUUGACGGUAAUCAACCAGAAAGUCACGGCUAACUACGUG
rnacentral:rRNA from 1 species